rnacentral:tRNA from 1 species
GAGGAUGUGGCUCAGUGGUAGAGCAUUUGCCUAGCAUGCAUGAGGCCCUGGGUUUGUUCCCCAGCACUGCA